GAUGAAGAACGCAGCGAAAUGCGAUAAGUAAUGUGAAUUGCAGAAUUCAGUGAAUCAUCGAAUCUUGAACGCACAUUGCGCCCCCUGGAAUUCCGGGGGGCAUGCCUGUUCGAGCGUCUCAGGGACGAACCCUCGCGCGGGUGUACGCGCGGUCGUGGCUGCGGUGGCGUGCCCGAGGCGGCGGCCACCGCGCUGGAAUCCAUGGGCGGACGCCUGCCGCGUGGCCGAGCGUGAUAUGACGCAUUGGCGCUCGCACGCGGAGAGGCUGCCAGCCCUGGCCCGUCUGUCGGGCGGGGGAGAGCAAGACACGUGAACUCCUCGAAUCAGGUAGGGAUACCCGCUGAACUUAAGCAUAUCAAUAAGCGGAGGA
rnacentral:misc_RNA from 1 species